rnacentral:rRNA from 1 species
UCCGUAGGUGAACCUGCGGAGGGAUCAUUACACAACAAAAUAUGAAGGCCUGGCUUCGCGGCCGGCUGAAAUAUUUUUUUCACCCAUGUCUUUUGCGCACUUGUUGUUUCCUGGGCGGGUUCGCCCGCCACCAGGACCAAACCAUAAACCUUUUUUUUAUGCAGUUGCAAUCAGCGUCAGUAAAAACAAUGUAAUUAUUACAACUUUCAACAACGGAUCUCUUGGUUCUGGCAUCGAUGAAGAACGCAGCGAAAUGCGAUACGUAGUGUGAAUUGCAGAAUUCAGUGAAUCAUCGAAUCUUUGAACGCACAUUGCGCCCUUUGGUAUUCCAAAGGGCAUGCCUGUUCGAGCGUCAUUUGUACCUUCAAGCUUUGCUUGGUGUUGGGCGUUUUUUGUCUCCCUCUUUCUGGGAGACUCGCCUUAAAACGAUUGGCAGCCGGCCUACUGGUUUCGGAGCGCAGCACAUAUUUUGCGCUUUGUAUCAGGAGAAAAGGACGGUAAUCCAUCAAGACUCUACAUUUUUAACUUUUGACCUCGGAUCAGGUAGGGAUACCCGCUGAACUUAAGCAUAUCAAUAAGCGGAGGA